GCGCACCAGGCGCGAAACUUUACAAUGUGCGAAAGCACGAUAAGGGAACUCUGAGUGCCUCCUAAGGAGGCUGUUCAGGUGUCUAAAAGCACCUGAAGGAAGGGCUGGGUAAGACCGGUGCCAGCCGCCGCGGUAACACCGGCAGCCCAAGUGGUAGCCACGUUUAUUGGGUCUAAAGCGUCCGUAGCCGGCUGGGUAAGUUCCUUGGGAAAUUUGGCUGCUCAACAGUCAAGCUUCCAGGGAAUACUGCUCGACUUGGGGACUGGGAGAGGUCAGAGGUACUCCAGGGGUAGGGUGAAAUCCAUUAAUCCCUGGGGGACCACCGGUAGCGAAGGCGUCUGACCAGACCAGGUCCGACGGUGAGGGACGAAGGCUAGGGGCGCGAACCGGAUUA
rnacentral:rRNA from 1 species